rnacentral:rRNA from 1 species
GAAUCAUAAUGGCCGAAAAUCUAAGGUUUCUUGGGGAAGGUUCGUCCGCCCAAGGUUAGUCGGGAGCUAAGCUCAGGCCGAAAGGCGUAGGCGAUGCACAUACGGUAGAAAUUCCGUAACCACCGAACAUUUAAGCUAGAGGGACGCUUUCUUUAAGGUUAUCCCGGGCGAUGGUUGCCCCGGGCGUAAGGGACCGAAAUAUAGUAGGGAAGUAACUGGCGAGAGAGACGAGAAAAGCUCUAGUGUAUACUAAGGUGCCCGUACCGCAAACCGACACAGGUAGAUGGGAUGAGUAUUCUAAGGCCAACGGGAGAAGGGUUGUUAAGGAACUCGGCAAAUUGGCCCCGUAACUUCGGGAUAAGGGGCGCCUGCGAGAGCAGGCCGCAGUGAAAAGGCCCAAGCGACUGUUUAGCAAAAACACAGCUCUCUGCUAAAUCGAAAGAUGACGUAUAGGGGGUGACGCCUGCCCGGUGCUGGAAGGUUAAGGGGAGUGCUUAGCGCAAGCGAAGGUGCGAACUUAAGCCCCAGUAAACGGCGGCCGUAACUAUAACGGUCCUAAGGUAGCGAAAUUCCUUGUCAGGUAAGUUCUGACCCGCACGAAUGGCGUAACGAUUUGGGCACUGUCUCAACAGCCCGCCCGGCGAAAUUGUAGUACCGGUGAAGAUGCCGGUUUCCCGCAACUAGACGGAAAGACCCCAUGGAGCUUCACUGUAGCUUGAUAUUGGAUCUCGGUAUUCCAUGUACAGGAUAGGUGGGAGGCUAGGAAGUAAGCGCGCCAGCGUUUAUGGAGCCAACCUUGGGAUACCACUCUUGGGAUAUUGGGAUUCUAACCUGCGACCAUGAAUCUGGUCGGGGGACACUGUCAGGUGGGCAGUUUGACUGGGGCGGUCGCCUCCAAAAGAGUAACGGAGGCGCUCAAAGGUUCGUUCAGCACGGAUGGAAAUCGUGCACUGAGUGUAAACGCAUAAACGAGCCUAACUGCGAGAAUGACGGUUCGAGCAGUAACGAAAGUUGGAGUUAGUGAUCCGGCGGUAUGUGAAUGGAAAUGCCGUCGCUCAACGGAUAAAAGCUACCCUGGGGAUAACAGGCUGAUCUCCCCCAA